rnacentral:hammerhead_ribozyme from 1 species
AUUCAACUGACAGGUCUGAAAUAGGACGAAACACGCGUCUUGAAU